AAUAGACUGAGGUACUUGGGUUAUCUAUAGUGCAGGGAAUGAUGUAGCACUCAUUUUAAAAGUGCAAGCUGAGACGAGAACUUGGAAAGCCAUGGGACUCAGUUGCACAAGAUAUGGGGAACAUUGGAAAGAGCCAUCUCUUGUGUGGAUGAUUGUGAAGCUGAAGCACUUGAAUGGUAUGAGAUAUCAAUUGAACUUAAUGGAACUGCUCUCAGGGUGAAGGCGUUGGUAAGCCGAGGUACUAGAGGCAGACAUUUGGCUUAAUGGAACUGCUCUCAAGGUGAAGGCGUUGGUAAGCCGAGGUACUAGAGGCAGAUAUUUGGCUGAAGGUGUCUUCUUGCUACACAGGCA
rnacentral:lncRNA from 1 species